rnacentral:rRNA from 1 species
UACAGAGGGUGCAAGCGUUGUUCGGAAUUACUGGGCGUAAAGCGCGUGUAGGCGGCCUUGCAAGUCGGGUGUGAAAGCCCUCAGCUCAACUGAGGAAGCGCGCCCGAAACUGCAGAGCUUGAGUACCGGAGAGGAUGGCGGAAUUCCCCAAGUAGAGGUGAAAUUCGUAGAUAUGGGGAGGAACACCGGUGGCGAAGGCGGCCAUCUGGACGGAUACUGACGCUGAGACGCGAAAGCGUGGGGAGCAAACAGG